AAUUUAAAGCGCCUGUGCAAGUGAUGAAUAAUUAAGUCCAAGAUUUAGUGUUUAAUCAGAAAUACUAAUAUGUCUUAACUAUGAAGCUUGUAGACGAGGAAGAUAGUUAUCGAUUUUUCGGCGGAUGCUAUCUCGGAUGUGGCUCAUUCGUUAUCUUAUUAAGGAAAACACUAGGGCAACCUUGUGCACAAAGUUAAUAAGU
rnacentral:ncRNA from 1 species